rnacentral:rRNA from 1 species
UACGUAGGGGGGCGAGCGUUUGUCCGGAUUCAUUGGGCGUAAAGAGCUCGUAGGCGGUUCGGUAAGUCAGGUGUGAAAUCUCCACGCUCAACGUGGAGGGGCCACCUGAUACUGCCGUGACUCGAGUCCGGUAGGGGAGUAUGGAAUUCCCGGUGUAGCGGUGAAAUGCGCAGAUAUCGGGAGGAACACCAGUGGCGAAGGCGGUACUCUGGGCCGGAACUGACGCUGAGGAGCGAAAGCAUGGGGAGCGAACAGG